GGUCCAGACUCCUACGGGAGGCAGCAGUGGGGAAUAUUGCACAAUGGGCGAAAGCCUGAUGCAGCAACGCCGCGUGAAGGAAGAAGGGUUUCGGCUCGUAAACUUCUAUCAACAGGGACGAAAGAAAUGACGGUACCUGACUAAGAAGCCACGGCUAACUACGUGCCAGCAGCCGCGGUAAUACGUAGGUGGCAAGCGUUAUCCGGAUUUACUGGGUGUAAAGGGCGUGUAGGCGGGAAUGCAAGUCAGAUGUGAAAACUAUGGGCUCAACCCAUAGCCUGCAUUUGAAACUGUAUUUCUUGAGUGCUGGAGAGGCAAUCGGAAUUCCGUGUGUAGCGGUGAAAUGCGUAGAUAUACGGAGGAACACCAGUGGCGAAGGCGGAUUGCUGGACAGUAACUGACGCUGAGGCGCGAAAGCGUGGGGGGCAAACAGGAUUAGAUACCCCUGUAUA
rnacentral:rRNA from 1 species